UACGGGGGGGAGCAAGCGUUGUUCGGAUUUACUGGGCGUAAAGGGCGCGUAGGCGGCCACUGCAAGUCAGUUGUGAAAUCUCCGGGCUUAACCCGGAAAGGUCAACUGAUACUGCAGGGCUAGAGUGCAGAAGGGGCAACUGGAAUUCUCGGUGUAGCGGUGAAAUGCGUAGAUAUCGAGAGGAACACCUGCGGCGAAGGCGGGUUGCUGGGCCGAUACUGACGCUGAGGAGCGAAAGCGUGGGGAGCGAACAGG
rnacentral:rRNA from 1 species